rnacentral:rRNA from 1 species
GACAGAGGCCACGAACGUUGUUCGGAAUCACUGGGCAUAAAGCGCACGUAGGCGGCUAGGUCCGUCCAAUGUGAAAGCCCCCGGCUCAACCGGGGAAUUGCAUCGGAUACAGCCUGGCUCGAGGACGGUUGGGGUGAGUGGAACUCCUGGUGGAGCGGUGAAAUGCGUAGAUAUCAGGAGGAACACCGGUGGCGAAAGCGGCUCACUGGACCGUUACUGACGCUGAGGUGCGAAAGCGUGGGGAGCAAACAGG